rnacentral:rRNA from 1 species
UACCAGCACCCCGAGUGGUCGGGACGAUUAUUGGGCCUAAAGCAUCCGUAGCCGGUCCUACAAGUCUUCCGUUAAAUCCACCUGCUUAACAGAUGGGCUGCGGAAGAGUACUAUAGGGCUAGGAGGCGGGAGAGGCAAGCGGUACUCAGUGGGUAGGGGUAAAAUCCUCUGAUCCAUUGAAGACCACCAGUGGCGAAGGCGGCUUGCCAGAACGCGCUCGACGGUGAGGGAUGAAAGCUGGGGGAGCAAAACCGG